CGCCUCCUGCAAAAAUCAACGUAUAGGAGGUCCUGCCUGCCCAGUGAUAAAUUAAACGGCCGCGGUAUUUUGACCGUGCAAAGGUAGCGCAAUCACUUGUCUUUUAAAUGAAGACCCGUAUGAAUGGUGGAACGAGGGCUUAACUGUCUCCCCUCUCAAGUCAAUGAAAUUGAUCUAUCCGUGCAGAAGCGGACAUAAAAAUACAAGACGAGAAGACCCUUUGGAGCUUAAGAUAAAAAAUCAAUUAUGUCAAGAACCUCAAAACCAAGUUAAACCAAAUAUGCCUGAUUUUAUAUCUUCGGUUGGGGCGACCGCGGGAGAAAACAAAGCUCCCACGCGGACUGGGGCAAACCCCUAAAGCCAAGAAAGACAUUUCUAAGACACAAAACAUUUGACCAAAAGAUCCGGCGACCCGCCGAUCAACGAACCAAGUUACCCUAGGGAUAACAGCGCAAUCCCCUUCCAGAGUCCAUAUCGACAAGGGGGUUUACGACCUCGAUGUUGGAUCAGGACAUCCUAAUGGUGCAGCCGCUAUUAAGGGUUCGUUUGUUCAACGAUUAAAGUCCU
rnacentral:rRNA from 1 species